rnacentral:rRNA from 1 species
CACACCGUAAACGAUGGAUACUAGGUGUGGGGGGUCUGACCCCCUCCGUGCCGGAGUUAACACAAUAAGUAUCCCACCUGGGGAGUACGAUCGCAAGAUUGAAACUCAAAGGAAUUGACGGGGGCCCGCACAAGCAGUGGAGUAUGUUGUUUAAUUCGACGCAACGCGAAGAACCUUACCAGGGUUUGACAUCUAACGAAUCUUGUGGAAACACAGGAGUGCCCUUCGGGGAACGUUAAGACAGGUGG